UACGAAGGGGGCGAGCGUUGUUCGGAUUUACUGGGCGUAAAGGGCGCGCAGGCGGCUCAUUUUGUCAGGCGUGAAAGCCCCGGGCUUAACCUGGGAACUGCGUUUGAUACGGAUGGGCUAGAGUUCGGGAGAGGAGAGUGGAAUUCCCAGUGUAGAGGUGAAAUUCGUAGAUAUUGGGAAGAACACCGGUGGCGAAGGCGGCUCUCUGGGACCGAUACUGACGCUGAGGCGCGAAAAGCGUGGGGAGCAAACAGG
rnacentral:rRNA from 1 species